GAUGAACGCUGGCGGCGUGCUUAACACAUGCAAGUCGAACGGAAAGGCUCCUGCUUGCAGGGGUACUCGAGUUGCGAACGGGUGAGUAACACGUGGGUGAUCUGCCCUGCACUUCAGGAUAAGCCUGGGAAACUGGGUCUAAUACCGGAUAGGACGAUGGUUUGUAUGCCAUUGUGGAAAGUUUUUUCGGUGUUGGAUGAGCUCGCGGCCUAUCAGCUUGUUGGUGGGGUAAUGGCCUACCAAGGCGUCGACGGGUAGCCGGCCUGAGAGGGUGUACGGCCACAUUGGGACUGAGAUACGGCCCAGACUCCUACGGGAGGCAGCAGUGGGGAAUAUUGCACAAUGGGCGCAAGCCUGAUGCAGCGACGCCGCGUGGGGGAUGACGGCCUUCGGGUUGUAAACUCCUUUCGCUAGGGACGAAGCGCAAGUGACGGUACCUGGAGAAGAAGCACCGGCUAACUACGUG
rnacentral:rRNA from 1 species